rnacentral:rRNA from 1 species
CAGCCCCGCGGUAAAACGAGGGGUGCAAGCGUUAUUCGGAUUGAUUGGGUGUAAAGGGUGUGCAGACGGCUUAUUAAGUCACUUGUUAAAUUCUUCGGCCUAACUGAAGGUCUGCAAGUGAUACUGAUGAGCUAGAGGGUGGAAGAGAGAAGUGGAAUUCUCGGAGUAGCGGUAAAAUGCGUAGAUCUCGAGAGGAACACCAAUGGCGAAGGCAGCUUCUUGGUCCAUUCCUGACGUUCAUACACGAAAGCGUGGGGAGCAAACAGGAUUAGAUACCCCGGUAGUCCCUGUCUCUUAUACA